GAGUAAGAACUACAGGAUUCCCUAGUAACUGCGAGUGAAGCGGGAAAAGCUCAAAUUUAAAAUCUGGCAGCUUUGGCUGUCCGAGUUGUAGUCUGGAGAAGCGUUUUCUGUGCUGGACCGUGUACAAGUCUCUUGGAACAGAGCGUCGUAGAGGGUGAGAAUCCCGUCUUUGACACGGACUCCCAGUGCUUUGUGAUGCGCUCUCAAAGAGUCGAGUUGUUUGGGAAUGCAGCUCAAAAUGGGUGGUAAAUUCCAUCUAAAGCUAAAUAUUGGCGAGAGACCGAUAGCGAACAAGUACCGUGAGGGAAAGAUGAAAAGCACUUUGGAAAGAGAGUUAAACAGUACGUGAAAUUGCUGAAAGGGAAACGAUUGAAGUCAGUCGCGUCGGCCAGAACUCAGCCUGGCUUUUGCCUGGUGCAUUUUCUGGUUGACGGGCCAGCAUCAAUUUUGAUCGCUGGAUAAAGGCCUUGGGAAUGUGGCACCUUCGGGUGUGUUAUAGCCCUUGGUUGUAUACAGUGGUUGGGAUUGAGGAUCACAGCAUGCCUUUACGGCCGGGGUUCGCCCACGUUCAUGCUUAGGAUGCUGGCGUAAUGGCUUUAAACGACCCGUCUUGAAACACGGACCAAGGAGUCUAACAUGCCUGCGAGUGUUUGGGUGGAAAACCCGAGCGCGCAAUGAAAGUGAAAGUUGGGAUCCCUGUCGCGGGGAGCACCGACGCCCGGACCAGACCUUUUGUGACGGAUCCGCGGUAGAGCAUGUAUGUUGGGACCCGAAAGAUGGUGAACUAUGCCUGAAUAGGGUGAAGCCAGAGGAAACUCUGGUGGAGGCUCGUAGCGAUUCUGACGUGCAAAUCGAUCGUCAAA
rnacentral:rRNA from 1 species